GUGUUGUAUGCAAGGAGAGGUUUGCACCCCCCCAUUAAAAAGGCUGGACGAGGCCAUGGAGCCUAAAAUCUGAAUAAACUUAAGACAUUGCCACAUAUUUUGUGUUGCAUAACCACUAUCAUUG